CCCUUAGAUGUCCUGGGCCGCACGCGCGCUACACUGAUGCAUGCAACGAGUUUAUAACCUUGGCCUGAAAGGUCUGGGUAAUCUUUUGAACGUGCAUCGUGAUAGGGAUAGAUUAUUGCAAUUGUUAAUCUUGAACGAGGAAUUCCUAGUAAACGCGAGUCAUCAGCUCGCAUUGAUUACGUCCCUGCCCUUUGUACACACCGCCCGUCGCACCUACCGAUUGAAUGGUUCGGUGAAGAUCUCGGACUUCGAUAUUUAUUCUCUAUUGAGUUUAUAUUGUGGGAAGUUAUCUAAACCUCAUCAUUUAGAGGAAGGUGAAGUCGUAACA
rnacentral:rRNA from 1 species